rnacentral:rRNA from 1 species
UACGUAGGGGGCAAGCGUUGUCCGGAAUCAUUGGGCGUAAAGAGCGCGUAGGCGGCCCAGUAAGUCCGCUCUGAAAGUCAGGGGCUCAACCCCUGGAAUGCGGAUGGAUACUGCUGGGGCUAGAGUCCGGAAGAGGUGAGUGGAAUUCCUGGUGUAGCGGUGAAAUGCGGCAGAUAUCAGGAGGAACACCGGAUGGCGAAGGCAGCUCACUGGGACGGUACUGA